CUCGGCGGGGGACAACACUUCGAAAGGGGUGCUAAUACCGCAUACGUCUGCGGGAUCUUCGGGUCCUGCAGGGAAAGAUGGCCUCUUCAUGAAAGCUAUCACCGAGAGACGGGCUCGCGUCCCAUUAGCUAGUUGGUGAGGUAGCGGCUCACCAAGGCUGCGAUGGGUAGCUGGUCUGAGAGGAUGAUCAGCCACACUGGGACUGAGACACGGCCCAG
rnacentral:rRNA from 1 species